rnacentral:rRNA from 1 species
UACGUAGGGGGCAAGCGUUGUCCGGAUUUAUUGGGCGUAAAGAGCGUGUAGGCGGCUAGGUAGGUCCGUUGUGAAAACUCGAGCUCAACCUCGAGACGCCGGUGGAAACCAUCUAGCUAGAGUCCGGAAGAGGAGAGUGGAAUUCCUGGUGUAGCGGUGAAAUGCGCAGAUAUCAGGAGGAACACCGAUGGCGAAGGCAGCUCGCUGGGACGG